UUGCAGAAAAAAUUAAUUAUUUUUAAAUUUAUAUUUAGUACAAUCACUUGAUUUUUUUUAAUUAAAAAUAAUAAACUUUUUUUUUAUUGUGAUGUCAUAAUUGAAGUGUGCCUCAGCAAUGUAAAAUAAGCACCAAAUCAAGUAUGUGCACAUAUAUAAGUAUAUUGAAAUGUGCUUAAUAAACAUAUUAGACUUAAGGAUUUUUCUUGCCUGUACCUAGUUUGCCAUAGAUUUUCCUACACUUAAUUAGGAUUGAAGUGGCUUAAGGCGAAGGGGAAAUCCAUGUGAUGGUGCCAACAUGGGAUCAUAUCCAAAACUCUCUUGAGGCAUUAGCACUUCCCAUUUGAAUCUUCUAAUGAUGUUAUGAAGGAAAACAAGCAUUUCUAGGCGAGCAAACUCAUACCCUAUACACAUCCUUGGUCCCCCUCCAAAGGUAACAAUUGAAUAAGGAGCAGCUCCUGAUCCUCCUUCAAAUCUUGAAGCAUCAAAAUUUUCUGGAUUUGGAAAAAGAGCUGGAUCUUUGUGUGUUGAACCAAUGCUCACAUGCAACUUCCAUCCUUUUGGGAUUGUAUAUCCUUCAUAUGUGAAAUCUGCUAUAGACUGUCUAUAAGAACCAGUUACAGGUGGAGAGAGUCUCAAAACUUCAGAGAUCACACUCCAUGAGUAACUCAUUUUCUGUACAUCUUCCCAAUGCAAAAACUCCCCUUGCUCUUUGGACUUUGCAAUAUCAAGAUGUUCUUGUAGAACUUUUGCAUACACUUGAGGCAUUUCUGCAAGAUACUUCAUGAGUAAUGUUAAGGCAGAUCUGGAAGUAUCAUGACCAGCAAAAAGCAAAAGCAGGAUAUUAUCAAUUAUCUCAAUCUCAGAUAGGAACUUUCCACUUGUAUCUGCGUUCACAAGCAAAUAUGAAAGAAGAUCUUGUGUGGGUGACACAUUAUUCUUCUCCAGUGCUUCUCUUCUUUGUCUAACAAUCGCCUUGAGCUCUUCUCUAAUUGCAUUAGCAGCCGUCAUCGAAUUGUAAAAUCUUGUGCCAGGUAUGCUGAUUGGAAAACCAAAUUACCCUUUGACAAACACAAUAAACUGAGCUCCGAGCCUGGAUAUGCAUGCAGGGUCAUUGAUGCUUGCAAAUGACUGACAAGCUAACUCAAAUGUGUAUAGAUGAUGAGUUUCAUAUACUUUCACCUCCUUUUUCCCUUCCCAAUGGAUGGCAAUGUGUUGUAGUGUGACCAAAUCAAUCUUCUGCGUAUACCCCUUAAGUGCAUUUGGAGUCAGGAAUGUCGAGAGCAUCUUCCUCAUCCUCUUGGCCUCAUCGCCAACUGCAUUAACCAAAGCUGAGUUGAAGAGCUUCCUCACUGAUUUUGGCCACCAAAGAUUCACCAAAUUGUUCUCAUUGCUAAACAAGAACUUUUGCCCUGCAGUUCCACAGAAGACUAUGACAGGCUCUCCUAUCAGGGAUGUCUUGAAAACUUUUGAAUCAUAUUUUUCCAUUCUCUCUCUGAUGAACUUCUCUGGUUUUCCUUCAAGCCCUGCUUUGAAGAAUGCUUGACUUUCUCCAAUCAGAGGCCAUCCUAGGCUUCCAGGAGGAAGAUGAGGGCUAGGAAACAAUCUUGUUUUGAUUGUUUUGAUGAUUAUACGAAUUGAACGAAGAAAAAUGAUAACAAUUAGAACUAAAACUGAAAGCAUAACAAAACCCAUUGACAAGUAAUGUAUAAAGUAAUGUAUAUGUUGUAGAAUGAAGGUUUAUACUCUUGAAGUUGCAUCUAUAUUCCCAUGGUAGCUAUUGCCUUUUCUUGUCAAGUAAGGCGUAAGAAGAAGACCAAGGCAUGCCAAGGAAAAUGUGAAUGGAUGGAUAUGUUGCUAGGAGUGAGCACCAUUCAGUUUGAAUCAAAUAAAUCGAACUGAACCUUCUUAAUUUGAUAAUUCAGUUCGGUUUUUAAGGUAAUUUGAUUUGGUUUGGUUUGGUUUUGCAUUUUAAAAAUUUCAGUUAUUUUAGUUCGAUUUGGUUUUAGAGAUAAAAAUUGAUUAAACAAAACUGAAUCAAAUUGUUUUAUUGAUUUUUG
rnacentral:misc_RNA from 1 species